AUUGAACGCUGGCGGGGUGCCUUACACAUGCAAGUCGAGCGGGGUGGCGAACGGGUGAGUGAUGUAUCGGAACGUGCCCAGUAGCGGGGGAUAACUACGCGAACGCGUAGCUAAUACCGCAUACUAUUGCCACGGCCGAUAUCGGAUUAGAUGAUUGGUGGGGUAACGGCUCACCAGGGCGCCGAUCCCUAGCUUGUUUGCGAGGACGACCAGCCAACCUGGGACUGAGACACGGCCCAGACUCCUGUGGGAGGCAGCAUGGGGGAAUUUUCGACAAUGGGGGAAACCCUGACCCAUCCAUCCCGCGUGUGCGAUGAAGGCCUUCGGGUUGUAAAGCACUUUUGGCAGGAAAGCGGUACCUGCAGAAUAAGCACCGGCUAACUACGUGCCAGCAGCCGCGGUAAUAC
rnacentral:rRNA from 1 species